rnacentral:rRNA from 1 species
AGCCGGAAAUUUUACAGGUCCGGACCCACCUGGAGAUGACACAAGAGAUUACGUCUUUUGAAUCUUAGAGGACAAGUUCGUUUUAAAGACAUCUUUUAGGAGGAGGAUUCGGGUAAAAAUGAUAGUUCUUUCAGAUUAGUGAUAGGAGGUGCAGGCCCGUCCUAGUUGGUGGAGUGAUCUGUCUGCUUAAUUGCGUUUCAUAAGGCCCCCAAAGUUAGCAAAUUAUCAAUCGUUACAAGAGUCGACCCCUCACCUUGAGUGCGCGUCCUAACUUGUAGUACAUGGUGUAAAUGGGAUUUGUUUUGGGUACCCAGAAAGCAAACGAACGUGACCGCAACGUCUUGUUGUCUCUCUUUGACAGUUAUGGGGUAUCCCAGUCAUGUGUUUAUACUUUUAUGUGUAAAUACGUACGACACAGAGACUAGAUACCAAACUAGGCGUACCGCUGUAUCAUUUCUUUAAACCAGAGGAAGGUUGCGGCAAUAACAGGUCUGCGAUGCCCUUAGAUGUUCUGGGCUGCACACGUGCUACAAUGAUCAGCACAGUAAGCAUCUCAAUUUUUACAACACCGUCAACACACGUAGUGAGCUGCUUGAUCUCUCAUUCAUGCAUUCUGUGCUUCGGUGCAGUGUGCAAUGUGAGUUGUCUAAUGCGCGCGGUUAUGCCUGUACCGAGAGGUGACGUCGGGUAAACAUUCUCUAAUGCUGACCUAUUUUUCUGAAAUAUGCACAACUCUAAUAUGACAUUCAUUCCCGGGAGGACUAGUUGCCUCUUUGUGUGAGUGUAAUGCAAACAUGAAUAGCGACUGUCGCUGUUUACUCAUAUGUGCCCCUGUCAAUUCGUGGUGGGGACAGACCAUUGCUAAUUGUUGGUCUCGCUUAUAACUAGGAAUGCCUUGUACGGGUCUUUGGUUCAACAAACCACCCUGAAUACGUCCCUGCCCUUUGUACACACCGCCCGUCGCUCUUACCGAUGAACUCGUUUGUGAGUUUUAAGGACUGGAUUAAGCUAUAUGCGUAACCUAUGGAAAUUCAUGCGAAUGAACUGGUUUAAAGGAAAGAGAAGUCGUAACAAGGCA